GUGGGGCUGGCAGUGGAUGACCAGGCCUACAUAGUGCUUUCUUUCUUAAAAGGAUUAAGUUUUCCACUCUUUGCUUUUUAACGUUUUUUUUAAAGAAGGGAAUUUUUCCGUAACGCUAUAAAUUCUUUGGGCAGAUAGGUAUCAGCAGCCUCCGUGAUGGCAAAAUACUUUUUAGCAGACAGAGUCAGCUUGACAGACAAAUGUGCCGCGUAAUUAAAGGAUUAAGCAUCCUUUCUCCUGAAAUUCAAGUAAAAAGGAGAGGCUUCUGCGCUAACUUGUUUAUGAUAAAAUUAUUUGUGGUCGUUUUGCAGGGAAUAGCUCUCAAGCCAUGGGGUAGUGUCAGGUUUGAUAUUUUCGCCUCCGAGGCAGACGGGAAAUGACAUUUAUACGUGACACUGACCACCGUGGCACAUACCUGAAUUGUCUCCAGGUUGUCCAAUCCAGAAGCUUCCCCUUUCACGAAUGAGGGGGAAUACUUCCCUCCUUCUCCCUGCUUGGUUUUAAUGUGGAGGGAAAAACGUCUCACCUUCCAGUGGAUUCUGGAAGCAACUGACGUUUGUGCAGAUGCCACGCUUGCUCUCAUUGGGUGAUUCGAUCUCUCUCUCUGACCCAGGCCACGGGGACUGCGGAGGGGGGCUGGGGAAGACUGACUGGGGGGAACUUGAGGGGCAGAAGACCUGGCUAAAGGAUUGUGCAGAAGACCAGUUUUAUCUAGUUAGCAAAGUCUGUUUUGCAACUUCUGACCUGCUGCUGCUUUCUCCUAUGCAGGUGUUUUCCUGUCUGCACAGAGGCAGAGUGCAUCUGGCUGGAACAUCCUGGGCAUUUGCAUCAUCAAGCCCUUUGGUGCACGGACACAGCAUCCCGGGCUCCUCGAUAGAUAAUCUGUAAGGCAACGAGAAGGAUGGAUGGGCAGCCUUUGAGGAGAAGAAAUGAAGACUUUUCAGAUUUUUAAACAUACGGGCAAGACCAGCCUCGACGUCCAGGAUUUCAUACUCGGGUGAUGAGACGAUCAAGAAACACAAGAAAAGUAUCGGCGCGAAAGUCCCAUCCGCGAUCACCUUUCAGAAAUGGGCAAUGGCUCGGGUGGAGCCUAUGACAGGGAUUUUGAAGGUUCUAUUUCUUGACCUGGGGGGUGAUUGUAAUAAUUCAUGACUGUUUACGUUCGUUUUGAGUACUUUUCUGCACCCAUAUUGAAUUUUACUUUAUAAGGGAAAAUUUAGAAAUCCUGGUAGGUAUGACACAAUCAGUCUGUGCACUUACGAAAAAUUGUGUGUGUCUGCAGGAAAACAAGUAAGCGAGUGAAAACAGCAGCUGAGCAGCGGGUUCCUAAAAUUACCCCUGACAGCUAAGGAGAAUAUUCCAGAAUCAGGUCGGGGACUCUCCCUUUCCAAAUCUAUGAGGCCUCAAGGCACCAGCCUGGGCAGCUCUCCUACCUAACUUUGUCCAGACAGAUGAAGGCAGGAAGGAUCAGUUUUGAUCAUGACUGCUGGAUGUGUGAGUAACAUUCUGCCUGGUAAUUAGUUUUGACAUUUGACAGUUCUGGGCACCACCUUUUACAGCUCUGAAAUGUUGGCAGGGCACUUAGUUUUGAAGUGUUCAUAUUUUCCUAUAGGUAGCCAAGUAUUCACCAGAUACCUCUUUGGGUGCUUAAUUUCAAAUGAAGGUAGAGCGUUAUGGAAAGUCACAGACCCCGAAGGAAGCUUGGAGUUUCGGGCAAUAAUUUAUCGCUUAGUGACGCCAAUAACCACAACAAAAGUGGGACUUAUAUUUAUUUUUAUUAAAAAAAGGUUUAAAGUUGAUUUGUUUUAGUAAUCUCUACACCCAAUGUGGGGCUUGAACCCAUAACCCACGAGAGUUUCAUGCUCUUCCGACUGAGCCAGCCAGGCACCCCGAAAGUGGGACUUUUUAAAAUAAUUAAAGAAAAACAAACAAACAAAAAACACACAACUCAGCUCCCUUGUAUAGAAUUGGGCUUACAGUUUUUCAGAGCAGAUACUGGGUGAAUCUUUGCUCUCAGAUUUCUCCCCCACCUGUCUGCCCUGCACUGCUGAAAUUCCAGAUCUUUUAGAUCACUCAGUGGGCUCGAUUAAAAUGCAAAUAUGCCUGGAAGAGCUAGCCAGGUGAAGAGGCUCAUGCUGUGGUGAAAAGAACACAUAAAGAAAGGGAUUCUGAACUGGAGGGGGGAGGAGGAACAUUGUAAAGGGCAGGGAAUGGCUCAGAAGAAAAAUGCCUGGAGCUUGGCCAAAGAGGCAAUAAAAAGGCACCCAAUGUCUGCA
ensembl:lncRNA